rnacentral:rRNA from 1 species
CGCUAGCGGCGCGCUUAACACAUGCAAGUCGCGCGAUCGGACCGGACCUGACUCCUUCGGGAUGACGGACCGGUUACGGAGCGGCGGACUGGUGAGUAACACGUAGCUAACCUCCCUUCGGGCGGGAAAUAGCAUCGGGAAACUGAUGUUAAUAUCCCAUAACCAUGAGAGAACCCAAGUUCUCCCAUUAAAGUGGUUUCGACCAUACCUGAAGAUGGGGCUGCGUCCUAUUAGCUYGACGGUGAGGUAAAGGCUCACCGUGGCGAAGAUAGGUAGGGGGCCUGAGAGGGCGAUCCCCCACACUGGGACUGAGACACGGCCCAGACUCCUACGGGAGGCUGCAGUGGGGAAUCUUGCGCAAUGGUCGCAAGGCUGACGCAGCGACGCCGCGUGGAGGACGAAGGCCUUCGGGUUGUAAACUCCUUUUCUGGGGGAAGAAUAAGAUGAGUAGGCAAUGGCUCACCGAUGACGGUACCUCAGGAACAAGCGCCGGCUAACUUCGUGCCAGCAGCCGCGGUAAGACGAAGGGCGCAAGCGUUAUCCGGAAUUACUGGGCGUAAAGGGCGUCUAGGCGGUCAGUCAAGUCAGUCGUGAAAGUCCUUGGCUAAACUGAGGAAAGUCGACCGAUACUGAUUGACUAGAGGGACGUAGAGGGAAGCGGAACUCUCGGAGUAGCGGUGAAAUGCGUAGAGACCGAGAGGUACCUCGAUGGUGAAGACAGCUUCCUGGGCGUCUCCUGACGCUGAAGCGCUAAGGCCAGGGGAGCGAAGGGGAUUAGAUACCCCCGUAGUCCUGGCUUCAAACUAUGUGGGCUUGGUGUCGGCUCCCGAUAGAGAGUCGUUGCCGGAGCUAACGUGUUAAGCCCACCGCCUGGGGA